CCCUUCCUUCGGCCCCGCCCAGCCCCGCCGGCCGCCCGCUCCCUGGGGAACCGAGGGAGGAAUGGGCGGGGUCCUCAGGUGCCCGGCGACGUCAUCCAGCCCCCAAGGCUCCAGGACGCAAAGGGUCCCCUGAUCUGGCAGUCCCUGGACCUACCCUGGAGAGCGUGGGGGGACAAAGGCCGGACGCGCCGCCCGCUGCCGCCUCCAGGAAGCCCUCCCUUGCCAGGACAGUGGAGUUGGCCGGGUCCUUCCAAAGUGCCUACGGAAAGCUUUGUCCCAUCCUUGAAAAAUUGCUAAUGGGUUUGGAGAUACGAGGUGGAGAUGACUAGCAAUCAAACUCAAAGGUGGAAGUCACAUCGAGGCAGAUGAGCAGAUGAGGGGACCUAGAGAAGAAGAGAGGUGCAAGGAGAGCCCAGCCAGCAGGAACAUCUGCCCCAGUAGGCAGCACUGCCCCACAUCAGAGUCGAGGAAAGCAAAGCUCGGAUUGGAUAAAAGAAACUUGCAAACACGGAUGAAGGGAAAAGCUUCAUGACAUUGGAUUUGGCAGUGAUUCCUUGGAUAUGACCCCAAAAGCACAGAUAACGAAAGAAAAAAUAGUUAAAUUGUCUUCAUCAAAAUUAAAACUUUUGUACAUCAAAGAACUCUUUCAAAAGAGUGAAAAAGUCACAGAAUAAGAGAAAAUCAUAUACCUGAUAAAGAAUUAAUAUUCAGAGCCAGAUGCAGUGGCUCAUGCCUGUAAUCCCAGCACUUUGGGAGGCCAAGGCAGGCAGAUCACUUGAGAUCAGGAGUUCGAGACAAGCCUGGCUAAAAUGGUGAAACCCCAGCUCUACUAAAAAUACAAAAAUUAGCCAGGCGUGGUGGCGUGCACCUGGAAUCCCAGCUAUUCGGGAGGCUGAGGCAGGAGAAUCGCUUGAACUCAGAAGGCAGAGGUUGCAGUGAGCCAAGAUCACACCACUGCACUCCAGCCUGGGCGACAAAGUGAGACUCCAUCUCAAAAAAACAAAACAAAACAAAACAAAACAAAGAGUUACUAUUCAGAAUAUAUUAAGAAUUCCUACAACUCAACAACAAAAAAAAAUCCAACCCAAUUAAAAAAUGGGCAACAGACCCAAAUAGACAUUUCUUAGAAGACACACAAAUGGCCAAUAAGCUCAUGAAAACAUGUUUAACAUCACUAAUCAUUAGGGAAAUGCAAAUCAAAGCUAAAAUGAGAUACCACGUCACACUCAUUAGGUGUUAUUUUUUAAAAAUAACACAACAACAAAAAAUAAGAAAUGUGGGCGAGGAUGUGAAGAAAUUGAAACCCUUGUGGACUGUUGUUGGGGAUGUAAAAUGGCGCAGCUGCUGGGGAAAACAGUAUGGGAGUUCCUCACAAAACUAAACAGAAUUGCCAAACGACCCAGCGAUCCUGCCUCUGACAUAUACUGGAAAGAACUGAAAUAAGGCGCUGGAACAGACACUUGUAACCCAUGUUCACAGCUGAGCCAAAAGGUGGGAGUAACCCAAAUGUCCAUCAGUGGAUGAAUACUGGCAAUAAAAGCUGUGUCUGGAGGCCACUCCGUUUCACACAGCUCUCCACACGGGUGAGGGCACAGCCUUCUCGUCUCUUUCCUAUGCUGCAUCUUCAGAGCUAGCUAUGAUAUGAUAUGAUGUGAUAUGUACAUAUCGAAUAUACAUGUUUUACAUGCAAA
ensembl:lncRNA DENND3-AS1 DENND3 antisense RNA 1